rnacentral:rRNA from 1 species
UACAGAGGUCCCGAGCGUUGUUCGGAUUUAUUGGGCGUAAAGGGUGCGUAGGCGGCGGAGUAAGUUGGGUGUGAAAUCCCGGGGCUCAACCUCGGAAUUGCAUUCAAUACUGCUUCGCUCGAGUACUGGAGAGGAGGCUGGAAUUUACGGUGUAGCAGUGAAAUGCGUAGAUAUCGUAAGGAAGGCCGGUGGCGAAAGCGAGCCUCUGGACAGUUACUGACGCUGAUGCACGAAGGCCAGGGAGCAAACGGG